UGGGGAAUAUUGCACAAUGGGCGCAAGCCUGAUGCAGCCAUGCCGCGUGUGUGAAGAAGGCCUUCGGGUUGUAAAGCACUUUCAGCGAGGAGGAAGGUGGUGAACUUAAUACGUUCAUCAAUUGACGUUACUCGCAGAAGAAGCACCGGCUAACUCCGUGCCAGCAGCCGCGGUAAUACGGAGGGUGCAAGCGUUAAUCGGAAUUACUGGGCGUAAAGCGCACGCAGGCGGUUUGUUAAGUCAGAUGUGAAAUCCCCGGGCUCAACCUGGGAACUGCAUUUGAAACUGGCAAGCUAGAGUCUCGUAGAGGGGGGUAGAAUUCCAGGUGUAGCGGUGAAAUGCGUAGAGAUCUGGAGGAAUACCGGUGGCGAAGGCGGCCCCCUGGACGAAGACUGACGCUCAGGUGCGAAAGCGUGGGGCAGCAAACAGGAUUAGAUACCCUGGUGUCCACGCUGUAAACGAUGUCGAUUUGGAGGUUGUGCCCCUUGAGGCGUGGCUUCCGGAGCUAACGCGUUAAAUCGACCGCCUGGGGAGUACGGCCGCAAGGUUAAAACUCAAAGGAAUUGAC
rnacentral:rRNA from 1 species